GCGAAGAUGUCGUUGACCUGUGCUUCCGCUUUCCUUGCUCCUGCAUGGGCGUUGGCAAAUUUAUCCGCCAUCUCUUCGAAUGUGGAGAUGCUCUUGGCCGGUAGCUGUGAGUACCAAGUUAGGGCCCCUCCUGUUAGCGUUUCGUCGAACUUCUUAAGAAGUACGGAUGUCACCUGUUCUUUUGAUAGUUCGUUGCCUUUGACGGCUGUGACAUAGUGGAUCAGGUGGUCCUCGGGAUCGGUGGUCCCGUCAUAUACCUUCAAGUAGGGAG
rnacentral:lncRNA from 1 species